GCAGACACAUUCCAGCCAAUCAGCAGCAGGCCCUCCCUCCCAGACCCUCCCACCUCCUGGACAGCAUCCAUUUUACAUCCAUUUUGAAGCUGCAUUCUUAGUGAGCUGUCCAGGAGGUGGGAGGGUCUGGGAGGGAGGGUCUGCUGCUGAUUGGCUGGAAUGUGUCUG
rnacentral:miRNA from 1 species